rnacentral:tRNA from 1 species
GGGCAUGUGGCGGAAUUGGCAUACGCAUGCGACUUAAAAUCGCAUGGCCUUACGGCCUUGUGGGUUCGAGUCCCACCAUGCCUA